rnacentral:lncRNA from 1 species
GCUUUUUUUGUCUGCGCCCACUAGCGCGUGCAUCCAGCUUAAAAUGGAUUCGUAUUUGUACGGUGACUCCUCCGGUAAUGGAAAUGAAUUGUUAGUCUUCAAACAACGACACUGAAAACGAAGUUUUUCAACGUGAACGUGACUGUGUUUUUCUUCUUUUGCAGGACUAUGAAGCACUUGCAUUUUGGGCGCCUCGAUGGUUAUGGUACAAGGGUCAGUUCUUUUCAUCUCAUGACUCUCCACAAUCUUGAUUUUAGGAAGCUGUCCACAGAAUCGUCUGCACAAUUCUUUUCUGUGAUUCCAGUCUGUGAUUAUUGUAUGAGUUGUGUGUUGAAAUGUUUGUAACGUUUCUAAAUUGAAUUGAGUGAUGAAUUGCUAACACUUGUUUAUUUCUGACUGUUUCAUGUCUAAUAUGAACACGAAAGCGAGUUGCAAAUCUCAUAAAGUAUUUAAU